UACGGGGGGGGCAAGCGUUGUUCGGAAUUACUGGGCGUAAAGGGCUCGUAGGUGGCCAACUAAGUCGGACGUGAAAUCCCUCGGCUUAACCGGGGAACUGCGUCCGAUACUGGAUGGCUUGAGUUUGGGAGAGGGAUGCGGAAUUCCAGGUGUAGCGGUGAAAUGCGUAGAUAUCUGGAGGAACACCGGUGGCGAAGGCGGCAUCCUGGACCAACACGUG
rnacentral:rRNA from 1 species